GUUAAAGAGAACAGAGUUUAGUUCAGUUAAGUAGGUUACACACACACACACACACACACACACACACACACACACACACACACACACACACACACAGCAAAGCAGUUCAGUAAGACGGCUCAUUAAAUGAUCCACAGACUUCCAUAUCUGAUCCCAAACCUCCAUAAAAUAAUAUUUUUGUGAAAUAAUUUAUUGUAUUCAGAUGGGAGUAGUUUGCUGACACGUGCAUAUGGCUGAGGGUUCAGGAGGUAUGUGAGAUGAUCAGACAUUCAUCAGACAUCCUGACUAUCACGGAGUGUAAAUGUGAGUCUAAGAAAGAGAAAAAAGGGGGCGUGGCCAAUACAUUUUUUUAUUUGAUAAAUUGGGUAGAUAUCAAUUUAAAAUAUUUAAAGACAAACACACAAUACGUGUGAAAUCAAUCUAACAUGGAGGUCUGUGGAAAAAUACCCACAAUGCACAUCACUAGCCGCUGCUUUUAUUCCAUCAGUGAUCAAACAUGGACUCGUUACAGACUAGCAUAUGUGCAUCGGUUGCUAUGGAAACUAGGCAAACAUGCACAUGCAGAGAUCUUCUAUCUACAACACAUCUGGUAAACUGCACAUAAAGUCCAGAAGGUGGUGAUUCAUUCUCUAUAAGAGCAGCUCAGACAGUAGCGCAGGUUUAUAUCAUGUUAGCGUUUCCAUAGUAACGGCUUGUUCACAGGGACGUGUACAGUGCAGUCCACUGAUUAUAAACAACUUGAUCAUUUUAAGAUGUUUCAGUGACAUGUAUGGAAGGAGUCUCCAGUGUCAGUGCACCCCAACCUCAACAUGAGAUUAAAAGUAACUAUAAAUUAAUAAACACCACACAUACACACACACACACACACACACACACACACACACACACACACACAAUUGUAAUGACUGAUGAAAUAAAAACAGGUCUUGUUUAUCUACACAGGAAUUCAACCCAAAGUAGAAUGUGAAUAAAAUGUAAAUUUCCUCUGUAGGUCAGAUGCAGCUGAUCAGACGAGAUCGGAUCACAGUCCGAGUCUGAGUUAAUGGUUUAGCAAUAAUGAAGUGUAGUGCCUCCAGUUUGGCAUGGUGUAGAUAUUAAAAAGGUAAACCAUGCCAAACUGAUGACCGGUUCAUAAUGUUAAAUUAUUCAUUUCUGUAUUUUUGCAGUAAAUAAAAGUAUAAAAAUAUUUAGUCUUUAAACUAGAUUAUAUGUUUUAUUUAUUUUUUUUGUAUAGGAAAUGUUUAGAAAGUAUUUUAAAAGAUUUUAAAUUAAACAAUUCUUUUUUACUUAAUUCCAUUUAUGUAUUUUACAAAAUUAAAUAAAUUAAUACUCAAACGUUGGUGUGUGUGUGUCUGUGUGUGUGUGUACACUAAAUAUAACACCAUGUCUAUGUGCAUUAACAUUCAUACCAACAUCCUUUCUGUCUUAUUCCUGUAUAAAUACACUAUAUUACCAAAAGUAUUCGCUCCUCUGCCUUGAACUUCAGUAACACCUGAGUCAUGAUGUUGACCCUGUUGAACAGCUUCAGCUCUUCUGGGAAGGCUUUCCACAAGCUUUAGGAAUGUGUUCAUGGGAAUGUUUAACUGUUCCUCCAGAAGCACGUUUGUGAGGUCAGACAGUGAUGUUGAACGAGAAGGUCUGGAUCACAGUCUGAGCUCUAAUUCAUCCCAAAGGUGUUCUAUUGGGUUGAGGUUCAGGACUCUCUGCAGGCCAGCCGAGUUCUUCCACACCAGACUCACUUCUCUAUGUGUUUAUAGAUGUUGCUUUGUGCACUGGUGUGCAGUCGUGUUGGAACAGGAACAGGUCGUCCCCAAACUGUUCUCAGAAGCAUGAAGCAUGAGUGCAUGAAAUGGUCCAAAAUGUCUCGUUAUGCUGAAGCAUUAAGAUUCUUUCACUGGAACUGAGUGUUCGAGCCCAACUUCUGAAUAACGUCCCCACAUCAUAAUCCCCUCCACCAAACUUUACACAAUGCAGCCAGACAGGUAGCGUUCUCCUGCUACCCACUGAACCCUGACUCGUCUAUCAGUUUACCAGACAGUGAAGUGAUUCUUCACUCCAGAGAACACGUCUCCACUGCUCUGGAGUCCAGUGACCUCGUGCUCUACACCACUGCAUCCGAUGCUUCGCAUUGCACUUGGUGAUGUAAAGCUCGGGUGCAGCUGCUCGACCAUGGAAACCCAGUCCAUGAAGCUCUACGCACUGUUCUUCAGCGGAUCUGAAGGCCACAUGAAGUUUGGAGGUCUAUAGCUAUUAAAAGUUGGUGUUCUCUGUGCACUACGUGUCUCUGCAUCUGCUGACCUGCUCUGUGGUUUUACGUGUCUGAGUUUCUGUCGUUCUCAAUCGCUUCCACUUUGUUCCAACACCACUAACGCUUUACUGUGGAAUAUUUAGUAGUGAGGAAAUUUCACGACUGGACUUAUUGCACAGGUGACGUCCUGUCACGGUACCACUCUGGAACUCACUGAGCUCCUGAAAGACACAUCCUUUCACUAAUGAUUGUAGAAGCACCUGCAUGCCCAGGUGAUGAUUUUAUACACCUGUAACCAUGGAAGUGAUUAGAACACCUGAAUUCAGUGAUCUGGAUGGGGGACUGAAUACUUUUGGCAGCAUAGUGUGUGUGUAUAAUCCUUUUAUUUUAUACUUUACAGGGUUCCCACUCUAAACCAAAUUCCCUGACUUUCACUUGUUAAAAAGCUGAAUUCUAUAAUGAACAGGAAAACAGCCUGCUCUUGUGCUGAGCACUGAGCAGAGGAAAACCAGACACAGACCUACUUCAAAUACAUCAUUUCCAAAGGCCUGGUCAAUCUUUUCAAUUAGUCUACAACACCAAUACAACACUGAUUAAAACUGCAAAUAACGACUGAUUUUCACAAAUCUUCAGGCACCACAAGAUUUCAGCCUCCUGGGUCUUUGCUGCUGUAAAGUGGAGAUGUGCCCCACUGUGUCUCACACUACUGUCACUGCUGGAGGUGUGAGCAACUUCAUUAGCUGACUGCUGUUCUGAGCACUUGGGCUGAAGCUGAUGCUCUCUCCCCAAUAUCUGAUUUAAAUGUUGUACCCCUGAUUAGCCCAGCGCAGCCCCGUUUACCCUCCUGGAGACCCCCCACCCCCGUCAGGACCCCGUGUGAGAGGAAAUGUUCAUGCAGGAUGAGUACUCACUCCACCACAUCGUCCUGAUCCGCAAACUCUUCAUCAUUGAAGCCGAACUGCUCAAUAAAAUUGGACGUCAUUUGUUGCAUCUGAUAA